CCCGACUGCUAUUUGGGUGAGAAUAAGCCAUGCGAGUUGAAUGGGAUGCCUAAAGUUCCCAUAGCAAACUGCUCAGUAACACAUGAUCAACUUACCCUAUAGAGAAAAAUAACCUCGGGAAACUGAGGAUAAUGUUUCAUAAUUGAAUUGGCUUGGAAAAGUUUUUCAAUGAAAGGGAUAAAAAAAAUGGUUUUUAUCUGCUAUAGGAUAGGAUCGUGUUCGAUUAUGGUUGUUGGUGAGAUAAUGGCUCACCAAGCCGAUAAUCGAUAGGGGCCGUGAGAGCGGGAGCCCCGAGAUGGGUACUGAGACAACGACCCAGGCCUUACGAGGCGCAGCAGGCGCGGAACCUCCGCAAUACACGAAAGUGUGACGGGGUUACCCAAAGUGUUCAAUAGAACUGUGGUAGGUGAGUAAUGUCCCCUACUAGAAAGGAGAGGGCAAGGCUGGUGCCAGCCGCCGCGGUAAAACCAGCUCUUCAAGUGGUCGGGAUAAUAUUGGGCUUAAAGUGUCCGUAGCCGGUUUAGCAAGUUCCUGGUAAAAUCGGGUAGCUUAACUAUCUGCAUGCUAGGAAUACUGCUAUACUAGAGGGCGGGAGAGGUCUGAGGUACAACAGGGGUAGGGGUGAAAUCUUAUAAUCCUUGUAGGACCACCAGUGGCGAAGGCGUCAGACUGGAACGCGCCUGACGGUGAGGGACGAAAGCCAGGGGAGCGAACCGGAUUAGAUACCCGGGUAGUCCUGGCCGUAAACGAUGCAUACUAGGUGAUGGUACGGCCAUGAGCCGUAUCAGUGCCGUAGGGAAACCGUUAAGUGUGCCGCCUGGGAAGUACGGUCGCAAGGCUAAAACUUAAAGGAAUUGGCGGGGGAGCACCACAAG
rnacentral:rRNA from 1 species